UACGUAGGGGGCGAGCGUUGUCCGGAUUUAUUGGGCGUAAAGAGCUCGUAGGCGGCUUGGCAAGUCGGGUGUGAAACCUCCAGGCUCAACCUGGAGUCGCCACUCGAUACUGCCAUGGCUUGAGUCCGGUAGGGGACCACGGAAUUCCUGGUGUAGCGGUGAAAUGCGCAGAUAUCAGGAGGAACACCGGUGACGAAGGCGGUGGUCUGGGCCGGCACUGACGCUGAGGAGCGAAAGCGUGGGGAGCGAACAGG
rnacentral:rRNA from 1 species